rnacentral:rRNA from 1 species
CUACGGGGGGCUCCAGUGGGGAAUAUUGCACAAUGGAGGAAACUCUGAUGCAGCAACGCCGCGUGGAGGAUGACACUUUUCGGAGCGUAAAUUCCUUUUAUAUAGGAAGAAGAUGACGGUACUAUAUGAAUAAGCGCCGGCUAACUCCGUGCCAGCAGCCGCGGUAAUACGGAGGGCGCAAGCGUUACUCGGAAUCACUGGGCGUAAAGAGCGUGUAGGCGGAUUAAAAAGUCAGAAGUGAAAUCCUAUAGCUUAACUAUAGAACUGCUUCUGAAACUCUUAAUCUAGAAUAUGGGAGAGGUAGAUGGAAUUUCUGGUGUAGGGGUAAGAUCCGUAGAGAUCAGAAGGAAUACCGAUUGCGAAGGCGAUCUACUAGAACAUUAUUGACGCUGAGACGCGAAAGCGUGGGGAGCAAACAGGAUUAGAUACCCUCGUAGUC